GCCCAGCACCGAAUCUUGAAAGUUUAACUUUUAAAGAGUUGUGGUGUUUUGGUGGGUUCAACUAUCCCGGUAAAUAUAAUUGAGUCCAAGUCCAUCUUGAACGGGGCCACAGUCCAUAGAGGGUGCUAGGCCCGUGGAGGCUAAUUAUUUUGCCGGGUGAACCACUCCUUAGAGUCGGGUUGCUUGAGAGUGCAUCCCAAAGUGGGUGGUAAACUCCAUCUAAGGCUAAAUAUGACUACGAGACCGAUAGCGAACAAGUACCGUGAGGGAAAGUUGAAAAGAACUUUGAAGAGAGAGUUCAAGAGUGCGUGAAACUGUUCAGGGGUAAACGGAGGAGUCACGAAAAUCCGAAAGAGGAGAUUCAUGUUUUAUCGUUAAUCAGUUCAGACGUAUUUGAGACGAUUAGUUUUCUAAUUCAGAGUAAUCUGUUACUUAGAGACUUUUCGCUCUUAUUCGAAUGUUUUUCUGAUACGAAGGACUGCACUUCUCCUUCAAGUAGGACGUUGCGACCCUUUUAACCUUUAAGAUUUAGGAGCCGACAAUGGAGCCUAUCCAUUAAUAAGUUUUUAAUUUAUUUUUGGUAGACGUGUUGGUUAUUUUCCGAUCUUAAUUAAAAGGUAUCAAUUGACAGUGUUGAACCGCUUAUUGCGUUUCUAAGCAUUUGUAAGGUUCUAUGAUACUGACUAUGCCGAAACUAAAUAGUUUCGACUGGUUGUACUUAGUCCUUUUAUCUUUUGCUAUAUUGAAACUGGUUUAAAACACUUGUCGGCGGCGAUUAAGUUUCGUGUACUUAUCCGACCCGUCUUGAAACACGGACCAAGGAGUCUAACAUGUGCGCAAGUCAUUGGGUUGUAAAACCUAAAGGCGAAAUGAAAGUGAAGGGCUUCGGCCUGAAGGGGGACGGGCAUAUUAGUUCCAUGAACUGUGCCUCGCACUCCCGGGGUGUCUAUAACUUUCUCUUCGGAGGGUUUUGACACACCUAGAGCGUACACGUUGGGACCCGAAAGAUGGUGAACUAUGCCUGGCCAGGACGAAGCCAGGGGAAACCCUGGUGGAGGUCCGUAGCGAUUCUGACGUGCAAAUCGAUCGUCUGAGCUGGGUAUAGGGGCGAAAGACUAAUCGAACCAUCUAGUAGCUGGUUCCCUCCGAAGUUUCCCUCAGGAUAGCUGGUACCCGAGUGUCAAGAGUCUCAUCCGGUAAAGCGAAUGAUUAGAGGUCUUGGGGUCGAAACGACCUCAACCUAUUCUCAAACUUUAAAUAGAUGAGAACUUUGGCUUUCUUAACUAUAUUUUAUAUAGAUGAAGCCAAAGACUUGGAUCAGGGUACUAAGUGGGCCAUUUUUGGUAAGCAGAACUGGCGCUGCGGGAUGAACCGAACAUGGAGUUAAGGCGCCUAAACAACGCUCAUGAGACACCAUGAAAGGCGUUGGUUGCUUAUGACAGCAGGACGGUGGCCAUGGAAGUCGGAAUCCGCUAAGGAGUGUGUAACAACUCACCUGCCGAAGCAACUAGCCCUGAAAAUGGAUGGCGCUGUAGCGUUGUGCCUAUACUCCAUCGUCAACGGCAAAGAGGGCGGUAAAACUCUUUUUAGAGAUACUGCGUCGUUAUGCCUUGACGAGUAGGAGGGUCACGACGAUGAGCGUAGAAGGGUCUGGGUGUAAGCCUGCCCGGAGCCAUCGUUGGUGCAGAUCUUGGUGGUAGUAGCAAAUACUCCAGCGAGGCCCUGGAGGACUGAUGUGGAGAAGGGUUUCCUGUGAACAGCCAUUGCACAAGAGUCAGUCGAGCCUAAGCCCUAGGAGAAAUCCGAUGCUGAUAAGUGCAUUUUCUUAAUAAUUUUUAAGAAGGCACUCAGUGGGCGAAAGGGAAUUCGGUUCCUAUUCCGAAACCUGGCAGUGGAACCGUUCAAAGCGGGCCCUCGCAUGAGAGCUCGUCGGGGUGACCUAAAAAGACUCGGAGACGCCGUCGGGAGAUUUAGAGAGAGUUGUCUCUUCUCUAUAAGCGUUCGAGUUCCCUGGAAUUCUCUAGCAGGGAGAUAGGGUUUGGAACGCUAAGAGCAUCACAGUUACAGUGGUGUCUAAAUCUUCCCCUCGGACCUUGAAAAUCCGAGAGAGGGCAACGAGGAAAAACCACGCCAGCUCGUACCCAUAUCCGCAGCAGGUCUCCAAGGUCAACAGCCUCUAGUCGAUAGAAUAAUGUAGGUAAGGGAAGUCGGCAAAUUGGAUCCGUAACUUCGGGAUAAGGAUUGGCUCUGAGGGACGUGGCGAGCCGGGCUUGGUAGGGAAGUGGGGUUGUGUCAACGUGCUGGGCCUGGGCGAGGUAAAAGAUUUUUAUCUGGAAUCUAGCUCGGUCCCAUGCCUUGAUCACCCACGGAUCUGCCUUGCUGCGAGUUGUGUGUUGACUAGCUUCUGAUUCGUCAGAGGGCGGGCAUUCAGUCUCUUCGGCCGUCAUUCAACGUCCAGCUCAGAACUGGCACGGACCAGGGGAAUCCGACUGUCUAAUUA
rnacentral:rRNA from 1 species